UACGUAGGGUGCAAGCGUUAAUCGGAAUUACUGGGCGUAAAGCGUGCGCAGGCGGUUCUAUAAGACAGAUGUGAAAUCCCCGGGCUCAACCUGGGAACUGCAUUUGUGACUGUAGAGCUGGAGUGCGGCAGAGGGGGAUGGAAUUCCGCGUGUAGCAGUGAAAUGCGUAGAUAUGCGGAGGAGCACCGAUGGCGAAGGCAAUCCCCUGGGCCUGCACUGACGCUCAUGCACGAAAGCGUGGGGAGCAAACAGG
rnacentral:rRNA from 1 species